rnacentral:rRNA from 1 species
CUUAUGCGUUGUUGGGUAGGGGAGCGUUCUGUAAGCCUGCGAAGGUGUGCUGUGAGGCAUGCUGGAGGUAUCAGAAGUGCGAAUGCUGACAUAAGUAACGAUAAAGCGGGUGAAAAGCCCGCUCGCCGGAAGACCAAGGGUUCCUGUCCAACGUUAAUCGGGGCAGGGUGAGUCGACCCCUAAGGCGAGGCCGAAAGGCGUAGUCGAUGGGAAACAGGUUAAUAUUCCUGUACUUGGUGUUACUGCGAAGGGGGGACGGAGAAGGCUAUGUUGGCCGGGCGACGGUUGUCCCGGUUUAAGCGUGUAGGCUGGUUUUCCAGGCAAAUCCGGAAAAUCAAGGCUGAGGCGUGAUGACGAGGCACUACGGUGCUGAAGCAACAAAUGCCCUGCUUCCAGGAAAAGCCUCUAAGCAUCAGGUAACAUCAAAUCGUACCCCAAACCGACACAGGUGGUCAGGUAGAGAAUACCAAGGCGCUUGAGAGAACUCGGGUGAAGGAACUAGGCAAAAUGGUGCCGUAACUUCGGGAGAAGG